rnacentral:rRNA from 1 species
UACGUAGGAGGCAAGCGUUAUCCGGAAUGACUGGGCGUAAAGGGUGCGUAGGUGGUUUGGCAAGUUGGUAGCGUAAUUCCGGGGCUCAACCUCGGCGCUACUACCAAAACUGCUGGACUUGAGUGCAGGAGGGGUGAAUGGAAUUCCUAGUGUAGCGGUGGAAUGCGUAGAUAUUAGGAAGAACACCAGCGGCGAAGGCGAUUCACUGGACUGUAACUGACACUGAGGCACGAAAGCGUGGGGAGCAAACAGG